CUGGUGUCAGCCGCCGCGGUAAUACUAGCACCUCGAGUGGUCAGGACGUUUAUUGGGCCUAAAGCAUCCGUAGCCGGCUUUGCAAGUCUUCGGUUAAAUCCACCUGCUCAACAGAUGGGCCGCUGGAGAUACUACAGAGCUAGGGAGUGGGAGAGGCAGACGGUAUUCAGUGGGUAGGGGUAAAAUCCUCUGAUCCAUUGAGGACCACCAGUGGCGAAGGCGGUCUGCCAGAACACGUUCGACGGUGAGGGAUGAAAGCUGGGGGAGCAAACCGGAUUAGAUACCCGGGUAGUCCCAGCUGUAAACGAUGCAAACUCGGUGAUGCAUUGGCUUAUGGCCAAUGCAGUGCCGCAGGGAAGCCGUUAAGUUUGCCGCCUGGGAAGUACGGACGCAAGUCUGAAACUUAAAGGAAUUGGCGGGGGAGCACCACAAGGGGUGAAGCCUGCGGUUCAAUUGGAGUCAACGCCAGGAAUCUUACCCGGGGAGACAGCAGAAUGAAGGUCAAGCUGAAGACUUUACCAGACAAGCU
rnacentral:rRNA from 2 species